AGCUAUGUGCUGACCUCGAUGACCUUGGACAUGGGAACCCCACCAUGUGGUUAUCUCUGCUGACACAAUGCUUUGGCAUCAGAAAAAAACGCUAACUUCAACCUAUAUAAACCUUGUGUGAUGUGUUUAACUGCUUCUCUCUCGUCUGCUGCAGUCCGGGAGUGAGCCCGGGCUCUCUCUCACCAUCCAAGAUGAGGGUGCGCCCGUGCUUCUCUCUUUUCUGCCAAGACAUGAGUGAGCCCGAUAUGCCCAAUAUACUCCCGUAUUUCUGACCCAUCUCCCGCCCCCUCCCGUUUUGUUAUUUCUCCCGGUAAUCUCCCGUAUUUUACGAGGUCCAAACAUAUUUUAUUAAUAAUCAAAUCAAAAUGUUUGUCCAAUAUUAUAAUUUGCCAGAUCAUGUAUGAAACGCAAUCAUUGUUUUACGCAAUAAAUACACUAUACCAUUUUCAACCCAUUUGUCAAUCUGGCAACCUACAUCCUAUUGCGCAGUUGAUGUUUAUGCGCAGGCUACUGACGCGCGAAGUUGAAACUGAAACUGAAAAGGAAAGGGAAAGGGAAAUGGUAGAAUGCGCCGCCGGUCGACCACCGAAGAACGUGAAAUAUCUUUGUAAAUUUAAGUCUUGUUGGACAGAGGAGUUUCCAUGUAUAUCGAACAUAUAGAUAAUAGUUAUGCUUUUUGCAAAGCUUGUCGUAUCGAUUUCAACAUAGGGCACGGCGGUAAGAAUGACGUCCUCCAACAUGUCAAGUCUCAAAAACAUAUCCGUGCUGCCGAGGCACAAAAGGGCACUCAGGUAAUAUCAAAUUACAUCACUAAGGGACAGACCGAACAAGAGCAAAUGCUGCAGGCCGAACUGAAAAUGGCAAUGUUAGUCACCAAAAAUAUCAUCUCGUUUUCCUUUUGUGAUGCCUGAGUAUUCAGCCACUGUGGCAUCGAUGUUCCCGGACUCCGUAAUUGCUAGAAAGUCUUCGUCUGGGAGGAACGAAGACAACCCAACUUCUGAAAGGUGCUGAGCUUGUAACGGCACUUACCUGAUCCAUCAGAGGAAUGGAGCACAGUUUGAUGAUGGCAUUCCUCCCAAAGUGGACCAUCAACAACCAAGACUCUGCAGUGAUCCUCAGACCCAUUCUGUUGUAAGACAUGGAUACAGCGGAAAAUAUGAAUGACUGACAAGCUGAGUGGCUAGCAUACCUGAAGCCAGUAUCUGACUUCAUAUAUACAUGAAAGACACUGCCAACCCAAUUGUUGUCUCAAUUAUUUCUAAUUUUCUAAGUGCACUUUUUUUUUUUUUACUUUACUGAGCUUUCAGUGAAAUGAUAAUGCUUGAUAUUUUGCCUAGUCAGUUUAGUUUCACCAGGAUGUUCACUGGCUGAUAUGUUUAGUAUACCUUAAGGUCCUGAUGGCUGGUCUCUAAGAAACCACUGUGACGGGAGCCUGGAGACUGACCAGCCUCACCGUGCAUCUCUGAAGACACAGGCGGGUCCCUGUGGGGAAAAAGAAGAGAAGGAAUUAAUUACGGUGGAGCUCAGAGGAACAGAUGAUGGUGAACUCUCAUGUGCUAAAGGUGGAGCUCAGAGGGAUGGAUGAUGGGAUGGUGAACUCUCAUGUGCUAAAGGUGGAGCUCAGAGGGAUGGAUGAUGUUAAGGUGAACUCUCAACAAGAUUGACUUUACAAUUCUCUCAUACGGUCUGAGCGAAAUUAUCUCACAAGUCUUGUGUACACAUAUUAAAUCAGAAGAUUGCAUUGCAUUCCAUUGUAUUGUUUCAUAUUGUAAUGCAGCGUAAUGUUUUUGUUGUUUAAGUUGUGGUAAGUUAAGGAUGAGCACACAAGAUAUAUAAAAAAGCGGUAUUAAGUAUACAAAGAAGAUGGAACAAGUGAUAGCCCAACUACGGAUCUCAGAUGAAACAUAAAGGACAGCCCAUCUCAUUUCACUUAGUAGGUAAGCAAUGUUGGACAUAUUUAUUUAUUCACGUUUCACCCAAAACAAUCUGAACGUGCACAUAACACCAUCACAGUCCCCGUUUUAUUCUCUCAGGGCUCUGUCGUGCUUUGCGCUUGUGCCCAGAGUCCCUAGACACUACUGUUACUGUUGGAACGGGAGCAAGAGCAGCUCCUAAAGAGGUCGGUCAGCUUCUCACGGACAUGGUGGCCUGUGGCAGACCUUUCAGUUGGGAUUAAUUUAGGGCAUCCAUGGGGUGGUGCUGGUGCUGUUCUGGUGAAUCGUUCCAGAAACUUAAACCUUUUCUGGGUGGAGGCAGCAGAUUGACCUUUCUCCAUCCUGCGAAAGAAAAUCAGCUCAUUGUCGUCAUUAACCCUCUGGUGGAGGCCUGGGCCCCGUGGCUCUUGUCCUUUGGUGUUGGCCCUUUCUGUGGUUUGCGCUCCAUCAAUCAGAGAUUCAUCUGCAGCCUCAGCCUCUCUGAAAGACGUGACUGAGCUAAAAAAAAAGUGCAGAAGAGCAACAAGUGUCAGAAAAUGGUGCACAUCCUGCUGUAGUGAUAGGAGUCAGGUUUCAAACAGGCAGACAGGUUAGGCUUGGGCUGACCAGUGGUUAAAGGUAAGGAAGGAAGACAUUUUGAAUAUUACAUUUGAGAAGAAUGACGUUAAUUAAAAAUAUGAAAUAAACUUAGGAAAUGGAAUCAACUUAAUAUAUCAAUAGACAUAAGUAAGAGACUCCCCUUGCUAUGGCCGCAUACUUAUUUCUAAACAUAAUGAUGAUAAAUAUACAUUCACACUUGCUGCAGCUGUCUUGUAAAAGUAAGUAAGUCCUGAUACCUUCUGGGCGACGGGUAGGGAGUGGGUGUCCGUGUGCUGGCCGCCGUCUUUAUACUGUCACGCCUUGAGUCAUGAUCAAAGAAGAACUGCACGCUUCUGGACAUGCGCCUUUCAGUGGAGUCAAAGGAGGAGGUGGAGAUGGCUGAGGGGCCAGUGAAAGGGAAGUUGAUCUCUUGGCUGCUUUCCCUCACAUCCAGGUCCUCAAUUACAGAGUCUUCAAGUUUGUCAUUUGAGUGAUCCUGUGGAAUAUUAAUGUAUCUGUUUGUGUAUAACAAUCACACAACGUUUGUUUUCUGCAAAUAAGACCACUUAACAGCAAGGUUAGUAGAGCCAGCCUGUCUCAUUAUUUUCACCUUUCAGACGUUUUACUCAUGUUCGGCCCAAAGAUAUUCAACAAAGGCAUGUAAUUUUCCCCCUAAUAUCAGUAAUAGCUCACAAAAACUUCUAUAUCACUAUAGAAUGUGUGAAAGUUGGAGACUAUUCAACUGUUUCUGUUUACCUCAAACUCCCCUUGACUGAUCUCGGUAGAACCAGGAUGAGAAGGUACUGGCACCUGAUCUGGUCCUUCAUGUAUCUCUAAAUCACAGUAACGGGAGUGUUAUAAGAUACUUUUCAUCCACAGGUAUCUCUAAAUCACAGUAACGGGAGUGUUAUAAGAUACUUUUCAUCCACAGGUAUCUCUAAAUCACAGUAACGGGAGUGUUAUAAGAUACUUUUCAUCCACAGGUAUCUCUAAAUCACAGUAACGGGAGUGUUAUAAGAUACUUUUCAUCCACAGGUAUCUCUAAAUCACAGUAACAGGAGUGUUAUAAGAUACUUUUCAUCCACAGGUAUCUCUAAAUCACAGUAACGGGAGUGUUAUAAGAUACUUUUCAUCCACAGGUAUCUCUAAAUCACAGUAACGGGAGUGUUAUAAGAUACUUUUCAUCCACAGGUAUCUCUAAAUCACAGUA